GUAACACCUCAUUAUCCUUUGACACUUUUAGCAUCCUCAGAGUCCAAUUCAAAUAAAUAAACUAAUUAGAGCCACUUAUAAAACUUAAACUCCGCGAUUUUAAUUUUCCGCUUAUAAUUUAUCUCUUUCGCAAUUGUCUGCCUUCAAGAACGAACCUCUCCUUGCUGCUUCCUUAACUAACAGCCUUGAAAAAAGCCAUCACAACUGCUAUUGAAUUUCAAACGUGGAGCUACCGUCGGAUGCAGAGAUGCGGAUGUCAAUAAUGAGUUUUUAUGAGAAAUUUACAGCUCAUGACAGCAACUAGAACCAAGUUUUGCUCCAAAGCUAAUGCUUCGAUUAAUUAUUCAUUAAGAGUAUGGCUGGUGUUUGAGAAAUUAUUGAUGAAUGAAAUGAGAAAUGACCCAAGCAGUAGAAAAUUGAUCCCUUGAAUGCCGAAUGAAUGAGUGAUAAUUUGAUGGGAGUUUUUACCUGCUGAGUGUAGGCGAACAAAUAUUUAGAAGCUGCUUACAAGACAGCGAAUGAUUGAAAAUUGACCUUACUUAACUUGACCGCAACUACCAAAUUAUUUUAAAUACUAUUCAUUUAUUCUCUACGGUUUUAAAAAUUGCAAUUAAGUUUAUAAGGUUUAUGACAAUACGCGUUUAAGUACUUUUCAAUAAAAUAAUUCUGAUAUUUUUUUAAUAAAUUGAAUUCAACAAAUAAACAAAUUAUUCAAGGCUGAGUAAUGAUAGAAUGAGAUGUCAGGGAUUUUGGUUUUAUUAUCAGAAUUUUUAAAUGAUCAAGUAUCAAAUUUUAAAAUAAAAAAUAUUUUUCGAGCUCAUUUUUAGUUUUACGCUUAGUCAUUCCGUCGAGGCUAGGCAAGUUGCCGUAUCUUGAUCCUGAAGAAAUCAAAAUACUGGUGGCCUGUCUGGUCAAGGCCGAACCAGCGGUCGCGUUUCACGUUAAAAUCAUUUUUUAUUUUGAAAAUUUAGGGUCAAAAUGAGCUCAUUUAAGAAAAUGAACAGUAAAUUUAAAAUGUUGAUUAUUAGUUCAGAGGUUAAUUAGUGGUGGGGCCUUGCAGUGCCAGGGAUCUGGCUGCCGUCGGGUCGCCACUGAAUGCUCCUUCAGGACAUUUAUUAAUCCGACGAUAGACCUCACAGCGAGUUGGCCACUAUGGGCACAUCCCUUUUUAGGGUUCUGCAUUAUCACUAAAAAUAGCGAGCAGAUAGAGCCGUUCGGUUUCGUACUGUUGGGCGUGCAGAGUUGACAGUAUGGACAGCACGCGGUCAUUGAAUUGAGAAGUUGCAUAUUUUGUAAUUUAUUUUUUUUUUCUUUUUAGUUCAAUGAAUUUAACAGUUUUUUAAAAAUGCUAAUUUAACAUUUUAAAAUAUAAAUUAACGCAGCUUCUCUGUUCAAAAUGAUUCUCUAUCUGCUACAGUCUCCGAAUCGGUCGCUUUUCCGACAGAGUCACUGUGUCCCCCAGUUUCUUCAGGACUUGUGGAUGCACCUCUGUAGUAAGGGCAACUGGGCCGGAAUCGGCUGUUGGGGGGACUCUUCCAGAUUUGAAGUAGUGAAAAUAUUGAGCACUUCUUAUUAGUGAAUGUACGUCGCUCUUGAAAAACACCGGUUUGCAUCGCUCUGGUAAUUGGUGUAUUUUCACUAGUUCAUUUUUAGGGAGAUGGGAAGCUAAAUGUGCGCUGGUGCAGUUAAACGAUGCCUGUCCCAAGUGUGUCACCGAGGGAGAGGAUUCACCGGAGUUUUAAAUGUUGUGAGCACCUAGAGUCAUUUUUUGUCCGCCGUUAUUUUAUUUAUUACUAUAUUACAUUACAUUAUAUGACAUUACAUGAAUUUGACAAGAUCUGGCAUCCGAUUUCACAUAUGAAUUUUUUUGCAUUGAUAAAUCGUUCGGAAAAACCUCUGAUCGGUGAUGAAAAUUUGUUGAUUGUCAUUUUUUAAAUUUUAAAUGUUUAAAUAAUUUAUUAUUAGUAUAACAGAGGCCAGUUGCUCCUUUGGGCAAUUUGAGUUCGCUGUCGACUACUGCGUUGAUCGCUGUUGGUCCUGCCUAUCAUGUCCUUUGACUCUGUCAAACCAUAUAGGUGUCAACACUUCUCGUCAGAGUCAAGCGGAAGUUCGAUUGCCGUGAGCAAAUUUAGGAUUUUGUUUGUUGAUAAAUAAAGUAAAUUCUGCGUCGAUGAAUGAAAAAUAGCCUCUGUCCGCGUUUGAAAUUUUCAAGUCACGGUUCGAAACAUUAUUAGAGCCACCGAAGGCUCCGGUCGCGAUAGUCAAUUUUUAUUUUUUAAUUACUUUUUAUUCAAUUUAGCUUUUAUUAGAACAGGGAAACAGUGGCUAAGUGUGCUCCUGUGGGCAAUCCGAGCCUGCUGUCGACUGCUACGUUGAUCGCUGUUGGUCCUGCCUAUCAUGUCCUUUGACUCUGUCAAACCAUAUAGGUGUCAACACUUCUCGUCAGAGUCAAGCGGAAACUCGGUUGCCGUGAGCAAAUUUAGGGUUUUGUGCGCCGAUUUAUAAAACUACUUAUACACUUUUCUAUUAAAUGUAAAUUAUUUUUUGUGAAUAAACAGCCACUGUUCGCGUUGACAAAUAGCCAGGUCCGUGGUUCGAUAU